UACGUAGGGUGCGAGCGUUGUCCGGAAUUAUUGGGCGUAAAGCGCUUGUAGGCGGUUUGUCGCGUCUGCUGUGAAAAUCCGGGGCUCAACCCCGGACUUGCAGUGGGUACGGGCAGACUGGAGUGUGGUAGGGGAGACUGGAAUUCCUGGUGUAGCGGUGGAAUGCGCAGAUAUCAGGAGGAACACCGAUGGCGAAGGCAGGUCUCUGGGCCACUACUGACGCUGAGAAGCGAAAGCAUGGGGAGCGAACAGG
rnacentral:rRNA from 1 species